rnacentral:rRNA from 1 species
UACAGAGGUCUCAAGCGUUGUUCGGAUUCAUUGGGCGUAAAGGGUGCGUAGGCGGCGCGGUAAGUCGGGUGUGAAAGUCAAAGGCUCAACCUUUGAAUGUCAGCGGAUACUGCCGGGCUAGAGUCCGGAAGAGGCGAGUGGAACUCCUGGUGUAGCGGUGGAAUGCGCAGAUAUCAGGAAGAACACCAACGGCGAAGGCAGCUCGCUGGGACGGAACUGACGCUAAGGCGCGAAAGCGUGGGGAGCGAACAGG